CUUAAGGAUAAUAAAUUGGAAUGAAAAAGGGCAACCAGUUGGUACUAACUCAGUGCAAUUUUCUUCUUUUGUGGGCGCUCUUGUGCGAGAGGUUGUUCCUUACACUAUUUCAGAUUGGAGGAAAGUUUCACCAAUUAUGAGAGAUGUUCUUUGGGCAUCUAUUCAGGCACAAUAUGACUUACAUGAUGAUUGGCAAAAAAAGAUGUGCUUUGAAAUGAUGGCAGAACUAUGGAGAGCUGGGAAAUCUAGACUUGUGAAGGAUAUUAUCAAUGCAAAAAAUGAGAGUGAACGACUAGCCUUAAAGCUGGAUUGCAUAAAAAGUGAUGUAGAAUGGAGAGCAU